GGGUAUAUGGAGUACGCUCUAUACCCUUUGUGACAUACCUAUAACUGUUGCUUCGGCGGGUAGGGUCUCCGCGACCCUCCCGGCCUCCCGCCUCCGGGCGGGUCGGCGCCCGCCGGAGGAUAACCAAACUCUGAUUUAACGACGUUUCUUCUGAGUGGUACAAGCAAAUAAUCAAAACUUUUAACAACGGAUCUCUUGGUUCUGGCAUCGAUGAAGAACGCAGCGAAAUGCGAUAAGUAAUGUGAAUUGCAGAAUUCAGUGAAUCAUCGAAUCUUUGAACGCACAUUGCGCCCGCCAGCAUUCUGGCGGGCAUGCCUGUUCGAGCGUCAUUUCAACCCUCAAGCUCUGCUUGGUGUUGGGGCCCUACAGCUGAUGUAGGCCCUCAAAGGUAGUGGCGGACCCUCCCGGAGCCUCCUUUGCGUAGUAACUUUACGUCUCGCACUGGGAUCCGGAGGGACUCUUGCCGUAAAACCCCCCAAUUUUCCAAAGGUUGACCUCGGAUCAGGUAGGAAUACCCGCUGAACUUAAGCAUAUCAA
rnacentral:rRNA from 1 species